AGAAGUGUAAUAAUGCCACCAACUUAAUGCCCAAUCAGAAAAAUUCUGACGCCUGUCUUUCCAUCAUUUUGUCAUUUCAAUUUUAAUGGCCACCGUUUCCAAAGGAAGCUUUAAUCCUCAUGACUUUUGAACUGUUCAUCUUGAAACUUCCUUACUUUCUCUCUAUCUCCUUUCUUAUUCAAUCCGGUUCUCUCAUGCUGUCAUUUUCCAUGUGGUUUUUGGCAUAUCCAGGGACAUUCUCAACCAGGCAAGCAAGGGCUUCAGCAGCGAAGGCUGAGGGCACUCUUUGAUGAAUCUCUGAGCAUGAUAGGAGGACGAGCCUUGCACUGUCUCUGACAACAACUCCAGAUGCCGACUGUUGAUUCCUCUCGUCGUAGGCUCCAUCGAAAUUAACUUUUACUGUUUGACAUUUCUCCCCAGAUGGCCCAUAGUGCGCAGCAAAAUAUUCUGCAGACUGGAAGGAUGUUGAGCGAAAACCCUGGACAUUCGCGGAAGAGGUGGUCCAUUGUUUCUGCUCCUUCACCACAACGGGGGCAUGCGAAACUGUUUAUUAGUCUUCUGUAUACCAUGUUAGCCCGUGUGGGCAAAUAGUUCCAAGAGAUCUUCCAAAUUGUAACUUUAAUUUUGGUAGGUAGAUCUAGGAGCCAAAAUUUUUUGUAAAAUACUUAGUCGGUUUGUAAAGCGUAAGCUCUAGGAUUAGAAUUUUGUAAUAGUUUGUAGGCACUUCGAACUGAAUAUUCUCUCGAAAGUUCCCCGCUCCACGUCAGGAUAUCAGCAUGAGGUUCUUGCGCCAACGGGAUGCUAAGGAUUUUUCCAGCUUCUACUUCUGGAAAGGAUCUAGCACAAGAGAAUCGUUGAUGCUAUGUCCCAUUCUUCCACAUCCAAAGCAAAAAAUUAGUAACUUCUCAUAUUUAAAAGAAAUCCACGAUUUAAAGCUAUUAUUGCUUGAAACAAAAAUACCUCUUCAAAGAGGUUUCUGUACAUCCAGGUUUAUUCUUAACCGACAUAAAUCAUCAAUAAUUUCAGAUCUAAUUACUCCUUCAAAAGUAA